GGAGACGUGCCCGAGUGGCCGAAGGGGCUCCCCUGCUAAGGGAGUAUGUGGCUAAAACUGCAUCGAGAGUUCGAAUCUCUCCGUCUCCGCCA
rnacentral:tRNA from 1 species